rnacentral:snRNA from 1 species
GAGAUUCAGCCCUUUGUCGCUAAGA